rnacentral:rRNA from 1 species
UACAGAGGGUGCAAGCGUUGUUCGGAAUUAUUGGGCGUAAAGCGCGUGUAGGCGGCUUUGCAAGUCGGGUGUGAAAGCCCUCAGCUCAACUGAGGAAGUGCGCCCGAAACUGCAGAGCUUGAGUGCCGGAGAGGGUGGCGGAAUUCCCCAAGUAGAGGUGAAAUUCGUAGAUAUCUGGAGGAACACCGGUGGCGAAGGCGGCUUUCUGGACAAAUACCGACGCUGAGGCACGAAAGCUAGGGGAGCAAACAGG